AAAGGCUUGCUUUUCUGUCGCCCAGAGAUUCACUACGCUUUAGCCGGUUUCCUCUUUUCACGUAAAUAUCAAACGUGGUUAAGCGGCUGCAAUCAGACAUAGACCCAAUCCCUUGGCCACCACUCGACAGCUGUGCAACUUCUUUGUGACUGGGGAUGUGCAAAGGGUAGCUUUAAGUGCUUAAUUGGAGACUCCCCCCCCCCCAUCAGCCACAUGCAAAUCAUUUCAUUAAUUAUUUAAGACAACCCCACUAAAGUCAGAUUCCAUAGAGUUAUUGUAAAGAGUUUGCACUGUUGUCUUAAUAUGCGUUGAAAUGCUCCAUUAGUGUUCCCGAGUGGUCACAUUCCCUUGUGAUGCUGAUGGCUGACACUGAGUGGUGGUCAGAUUCUAGGCACCGGAGUUAAACUCCAACCUUGACUCUGCCACUCCGCCACACUGAAUAAUGAAUGUCCUUGGACCUUUCUGUGCCGCAGAGCUGUGCUGGUGCUGGCUCAGUGUAGCUUGCAAGAACCAAUUGCUAAAUGUUCAGGGCAUCUGGGAACUGGUUGCUACGUCAUAGGUGGACUGAAAUGAACUGUGGUGGGACAUAUCAACAUAUGUCAGACAUCAAGGCUGGAACAGUGGAUUUCAGGAAGCUGUGGACUUAACUACAUACUUAAAUUUUAUUUUAGAUCAUAUUUAUCAUGUGUAUGUGUGUGCUCGUGUGCGUCUCUGUGUGUGUGUGUGUGUGCAUAUGUGUGUUUGCAUGCUACAGCUUGUAUGUGGAGGUUAGAGGAUGACUUAUGGAAAUCAGUUUUCUUCUACCGAUAGGUCCCAGUAGUCAAAAUCAAGCCGUCAGGUUUGGAUGUAAGCAUCCUUACCCACUGAACCGUGUUGCUAGCCAUUAACUACAGGUUUUAAUUCUGAUAAGGAUAUGCUUACAUUACUAAUAGUAGGAUCAGCAGUUAAACCUGAGAAGCCCCAAGUGCAAUGCUGGAUACAUGAUAAAGGUGUGGGGCUUACUAGUUUCCUUUUCUUUCUUUUUCCAUCAUGUAGGGGAGUUCCGUCUAGCCUUGCCUAGGUUGCUUGCUGCUUAAAAUUAUAUUUGGCCAGAAUAUAAUACAAAUAGAACCACUGAAUUGUGACAGAUACCUGGAUUUGGGAUGCUUUUGCAUACGGCCAGAUUGCAAUCCCAAACUGAAAGGCAGUUUCACAGUCAUUGCUAGCAUGUAUCUGUUCCAGGGCAACAGACUAACCCUGAUGAAGCUUGCCCACACCAGUGAUACAAAGGCCAGCAGGGAAAUAGCAGUGCUUGGUGUUGGAUGUCUAUAUGGCCAGAGCCCAAUUUCCUUGAAAUCUGUGGGUAUAAGUUCUGCUGCCCUGUGAAAGGACACGAGCCCCUGCCAGUUUGGUCACUAUCAUCACCACCCAACAUCAAGAAAAGGAGCCAAGUGAGAAAGGAGGGAGGGUGAGGGCUCCUUACAGAGAUGCUGUGCAGCAGGCAAGCCGUCUGCAGGACAGUUAAGGAUUUGGGAGAAGGUAAUUUUGAUGUUUUUUUUUUUUUUUCUUGUGGUGCUAGAGGUGUGCCCAAGGCCUUGUAUAUGUAGGCAAAUGGCCUGCCCCAGAGCAACACCCCGCCUGAACUUCGCUUUUAAAGAGGUUUUCCAGAGUAUCCUACUGAAGCCCCACCAAAGCUGGCCGUACCCCUGCGGGAGCCUGGGCUGGGCUUGACUGCAAGCCUCUCUCCCCCAGAGCAUUCUAUGUGAGGCUGAAAGAGUUAAAUCUCAUCAAAGAUGGCAUCUGUAAGUAGAGAGCUGGAAGCCCCACCUGUUUCUAAGGUUCGCAGUUGGAGGCUCUAUGUUCUGCCUAUCAGGUAGGGGAAGCAGGGGGCCUUGAUAAAAGUCAGACCCCAGUUCCAUCUUGGGGAACCAAGGGGAGCAGGAAGAGUCACAGCUUCGUUUUUUAGCAAGUACCCCAAGUGAUUUUUGUGCUGAAGUGUGAGGAACCCCCAGAGGACCCUGGCUUGUACCCACAACCCACACUGCUAACACCUGAGGAGCGCCUACCUCAGAACCAAAGUAAAAGCCACACCCCUCCAGGCAGACUGCUGGGUGGUCUGUCAGAGAAGUCCGCUUUACAUUAUCCUAUUAAACCUUGGCAAAGCUUUCAGAGUUACUGCUGGGCUUAUGUUUUUAGUCUGUACAGAAAUUUAACGAAUUUGUUCUUAACAGUUUUACAGUGGAGCGUCUUGGCAGUUAGGGAAACUUUCCUCUGUAGAGACUCAUGGGGUGGACCUGGGGCUUGGAAGAGAGCAAGGCUAGCCUCCAAAUGUGGAGAGGCCAGGAGGAGAUGGCCUUUUUGUCCAGAUGACGUCAGCUCGAUCUGCUUGGGUUCCACUAUGAGCAGCCUGUGGAUGACAUGGGUGGACAGGAGGUGCGAUGUGGCUUCAAUGGCUGUCACUUGUCCAUAUUUUGUCUUUCAUUUUCUUAGAUGCCCAGGCAGGGUCUGAGCUGGCCAUUGCCUAGAGCCUUGCUUGCCUGCCCCUUGCUUGCCUGCCCCUUGCUUUCCUGGGAAACCCUCCUAAUGCUGGCUUCUGAGGACUCGUUUAGACGGUACUAAAUUUAUUGUGGUCGCUUCUGCUUCCCCCAGAUAGCUAGCUGUCCACUGCAGCAGCCCGGCGGGUGGCAGUGAGAGAAGAGGGGCCUCAGGCAGGCAAUAGCAGCAGCCCCUUGAUAAGAGCUGUCAGGAGGCGUCUACUACGUGAAACAGUCUGUGCAGACAUUCAGGGACAAUUUUUUUCUUUGGACCUGGCUCCCAUUUCUUGAGGGCCAUGCUGAGUGCUCAGGGUCGCCUUGCUGCCUCUCUGUCUGAUCUGUCCUUCUUUUCAACCCAGUUUACUGCCCCUUGCUCUGCCUGCAGAGCUAUUGGUUAUCCCUGUCUCCUUGAGGGUGUCCUUCUGGGCCUGACUGGUCCUCUGAGCCCAAGAGUGGGUUGUCUCAGAAAUUGGGACCCCAGGAACGGGGGACUACUUUAGGGCUACUCAUCUCCAAAGAAGCAUACAAGAUUAACCUGUCUUGGGCCCUCCUCUGGAGCUACCUGGAUACACAUCUCCUCAGCCACCUUGUUAAAUAGUUAAUGAAUAAAUAUGCGGGUGACAGCUUCCCCCCUGCCCUUCUCCUCCAUCUGGGAAUUCCUGGUCUUAUUUCCCCCUCAAUUCAUUGUAAACCUGUGACUAAAAGCUUUCGUUUCUCGAAUCUUACAGUCCCCUUUCCUUCCCAGCUUCCUCAGCCAGCCGUCCUGAGAUGUCAGUCUCCUCCAUUGAGUUGCUCCUUCCUUCCAUUCAUCCCUUUGUGCCUUUUUUCCUUAUUGGGUUGCCGUAUAUUCUCAGCGAUUGUCACCUGUUUUCAGUGGCUCCCUUUUUUCCUUUCAGCACCUCUUGAUCAGGUGCUUAGCUUAGCUCAUUCCUCAGAAAGUAUUGAUCAUUAUAAGCUAUAUUCCGGACUACCAGAUGUGAGGUUGACCCUUCAGGAACACAUUCCUUUUGUUCUCAAGGAAUGCAUCGGAUGGAGCAUAGAAAGAGAGCAGGUUGGUGAAGGGAUGUUUAUUCAACAUCAGGACCAGGGCUGGAUCUCCAGAACUCUGAGGGUGGUAAUCCCAGUACUGAGACACGUGGAUCCCUGGAACACACUGGCCAGUGAGUCUAGCCUGUUUAACACUCCCAGGCUGGGGAGAGAAUCUAUCAAAAGACAAGGUGGACAGUGCCUGAGAAAAGACACCAUGGACCAGCACAAUGUCCACCAGCACACACAGGGAGUAGCUCAAUUAAGAGACUGCUUACUUAGCAGGCACAACUCUCUGAAUUCAACCCCUAGGACAACAUAAAACUGGCCGUGGUAGAUCUUAGCACCAGAGAGGUAGGAGGAUCAGAAAGUCAGCCGGCAGUGGGGUGGCGCACGCCUUUAAUCCCAGCACUUGGGAGGCAGAGGCAAGUGGAUUUCUGAGUUCGAGGUCAGCCUGGUCUACAGAGUGAGUUCCAGGACAGCCAGGGCUACACAGAGAAACUGAGAAACCCUGUCUGG
rnacentral:lncRNA from 1 species